AUGGCAAUGGGGGCAAUGGGACACACAGUGGGCCAUGGCAAUGAGGGCAAUAAGACACAACCUUUAGGUGUAAGGGCCGGGCUGGAUGAGGCCCUGGGCGGCCUGAGCUGCUGUGGGGCAACCAGCCCAUGGUGGGGGUCUGUGGGAGCUUUAAGGUGCCUUCCAACCCAACCACCCCACAGUUCCGUGGUUCUACGACCUCUUUAUUUCCUCAUUGUGGUUAUGGGGAGCAGCAGGACUCACGUUGGACACGACGAUCCAUCCACCCCAUCCCGCAUCUCCUCACAGCGCUCUCCUCACAACGCCUUCUCUCCCGCCCCUCCGCCCCGCCUCUCCCCGAUUGGCCACCUCUUCCCUUCUCCCCGCCCCCUCCAUCCCAUCCCGCUUUCCCAUUGGCCACUUCCCCCGCCCGUCCCCCCUCCCUCUCUCCGGUCGCGUGGAGCUGUCACCCCGCCGAGGUGUGAGGGGAGGGGGGCGUUGGAUGGGGGCGGCUCCCCCGGGCGGCGUUGCCCCCCCGGCCCCAUAGACACACACAGCGCCGAGCGGGGCGGCACCGCACCGGGCAGCGCCGGGCGGAGGGAGGGAGGGAGCGGGCACACAUCCGGGACUGCGCUGUGCUCCGCUACCACACGGCGCCCGCGGAACCACGGGGGGAUCCGGAACGCAGCGGGGGCCGACCCGACCCGACCCGACCCGACCCGACCCGACCCGACCCGACCCGACCCGACCCGACCAGUUGUCGGAGAGGCGGAACUCGUCCCGAAGUUCGGAGACACGGGAGAGAAACAUCAGAAGGUCUGCGGGGAAAUGCAGCUGCCCUCUCACACCUCUUCAGUUGCAGCCUUGUAGAACUGGCACAGAAUGCAUGCAAAGUGCAAAGCAGCAGAUGGCUGACGUUCUUGAAUGUAAGGGACACUGAAAUCUGUUGUUACGACCUAUGCAAACUCCAUAUAAAGGGGUGAUGGGUUUGCAUGGGUGGGAUGGAAGGAAAUCAAUGGUGAUGGGUUUUGGAAGUGGAAAAGGGAUGGGGAGGGGAGCAUGGGGCUCACCCCCAUCUGCCAGGAGGCUUGAGCUGAGUCUUGUGCCCAUGUUAAUUUUUGUUAAUGAGAAGGAGUGAGGGGAUCCAGCUGCUCGGUGGGUUGGUUGGUGUUUGGAUGCAGAGCAGGUUUGUGUUGUGGCAGAGCUGGAACCUAAAAGUUCUCCCAUGUGGUGCAGUGUGUGAAGGACAUCACUCUGCUCACUGGAUUCUCCUUCCCAGCUGGCAGAGCUGGCAAUGCUUUUCUCCCAUGCUUUAGAAGAGUGGAACUUCACAGUUUGGAGCUGCCCAGCAAAAAAUAUAGGGGAAUUUGCUACCUGCCCCAUGCGGAUGGUUGUUUUUACUCCUUAUUUUGCAUGGUGUGAGCCCUCCCCCCUGGCAGCACCCCUCACUCAUGAAGGUGCAGCCGGGCUCAGCACUGCUGGGAGUUUCCCCUAUGCAGUAGCAGGCGGUGCUUUUCAUCACUUCUUCCAAAUGCAACUCCCAGCACGGCCUGAGUCACAUUCAGAAGUGCAAAACAGGGAUCCUCCUGUUUUCCUCCAACAAACAGUGCUGACAGAAUGGGUGAUGCAGUGAUCCGCACCCAGCUCUGCACACACUUGCAGGAGAAACCAGGUGCACAGAGCAGGGCAAAGCAGAGCAGUGUCAGCAGCUCGCUGAGCCAAGGGCCAGCUGGCAGCAAUGGGAGUGAGCAUGGCUUUUACAAACAGCUUGUGCUUUGGUCGAUCUUGGAUGAUCUCUGAUGCUGCCACCUCCAAAGAGAGCCCCAAAGUGGUCCUGAACCCACCCCAGACUCAGAUCUGCAGACAGCUGUCCAGUUCAGCUGGUGGGAGCUGAGCUUGGGCAGGGUGCCUCUGUCAUUGCUGGGAGAAUCCCCUCUUCCUACAGCCCUGUGAGUUCCUGCUGCUCACCCACUCCAGAGACAGCCCUGUUCUUGUGUUUUAUUUUAUGUUGAUAUUAAAGAUGUCCUUUAAAGCAGUGUCAGCUCACAGGCCAUCACUUUUAUGAUUAACAGAAUGCCACUUGCCUGGGGUGUAUUUGAGAGCAUCAAGGAAGAGGCUAUUUUAAAGUAAUAAGUGAGGGCUAAAUUAAUUUUCAUUAUUUGCAUAACAGCAUCCUCUAAUUAAUAGGUUAUGGGCAGCCUCAAAGGUAGCACUGGAGUGGGGUCUCCAGUGAGGCUGUGGGAGAAGGGUUUUAUUGCUGGGAAUGGCAGCUUUGCUCCAUCUCUUGGUAGAUUUAGCAAGCAGAGGGUGUCUGAAGCAGUGCUGUGGGGUAGAAUGCACCUUUCCUGAGUCAAGGAUCUUCCUUUGGUUCCCUCUCUGUUUCUCCCUCCUAUUCUAUGCUGUGGUGCAGCAUGUGUGAUAACAACGGCAUUGGGUUGCAUCAGGUAGCGUGGGAUACAGGCUCAAAGCAGGGGAGAAUGGGUACUAUGUUUUGAGAUGGGAAGAAGAUAGAAGACCUUGCUGUGCCUUCUGAGCUUCCCACAGAAAUAAUCUGCUGCCUGCAGAGCUUCUGCAACGUGGCCUCGGGUCUGCGUGGGAUUUCACACCCACUCAUCCCAGCAGGGACCUCGGGGUUUUGCUUUUCUUUUGGUUAACAUCCACUCCCUCUUUGCAAAGGAAAACUUCUGAUAUCUGUCUGUGUUUUCAUUCAUUUUUUCCACCAAACCCUUGUGAGAUACACCAUGCUCUGAGCUGCUGUAGGUAUUACUGGGAAGUGAAGGCAGUUAUGGCUGUGCACUCAGUGUUGCUUGUGACCCAAUGUCAGCACUCAUGGGUGCCUGGGAACCAACAUCUUGCUAACUUCCUUCAAGUGAGACAAACCUGAGUGAUGCUGAUGGGCUCUGACGAAGGAGACGCAUUGCUGACAGACAGCAGCUGUUUCAGAAAUAAACGACCAAAAUAAAACCA
ensembl:lncRNA